AAAAACCACACAUCUUAAUGACCAAAAGAUGUUCUUGGCUUCCAAAAUUUUUCGUUAUAAUAUUUAUUUGAUAGAGAUGUUUCAGAAGGGUGCAAAGGCAAUAUGGUCAUUUGGAAUGGCAUUCUAUCCUAUGUCGAAGAAGCUAUUAGUAUUCCUGGUAUUGUAUUGUAUAUUUCAAGUUCAACUGCGGUUAACUUUAAAUUCUUAAGAAACAAAGUGAACAAAUUGGAAAGAAGAAAAAGAAAAAAGAAGGCAAUCAGAAGCUUAGAAUCAAAGUUAAUACAUAGUAACACACACAACAAACAAUCAUAAAAAGAGAGCAUUUUAAAAUAGUAAGCUUAAUGCGUGACUGUGUUCAUUGAAAAAGAAAACAAGUCCCUCUGAGGAGGAUGCCAUUUCCUCAUAAACAAGAUCCUAGCCUCUGUCCGUGCCAUAAGAAAUAUUUAUCUGCAACGGCCAUGAGGAGGAAGAAACCAAAAUAUUCCCUUCUUAUUCUCUCUAUAUAAUCAUAAAUUGCAGCUGUGCAGCUGCAGUGGGUUGGAAGAUAAGCAAUAUAUGCAUUAAAGGAUAUCAAACUAUAGAUUAACCUUUGCAAAUUGUACACGUUUAUUGUUUUGCUCUAUUUGACGAGCUGAUGUUGCAGCUCUCUCUUCCUUUCCUUGUGAGCCCUCAAGCAAAACGCCCUGUUAUCAGAUCAGAUUUUAUUCAUGAAAAACGCCCGCUGAAUCUUCAUUGUCUCCAGCUUCCUCCGAGCUUGUUCAUAUCCAAUUCACAGCAACAUCCAUAUCCCACUUUGCCAUUUCCAUCACCAGCUACUCAGAGUGUAGCAGCUAUUGUAUUUGGGGAUGGAUCAGAAUCACGGCUUUAUCCAUUGACAAAGAGAAGAUCAGAAGGGGCUAUCCCUAUUGCAGCAAACUACAGGCUUAUCGAUGCAGUUGUGAGUAACUGCAUUAACAGCAACAUAAACAGGAUAUAUGCUCUUACACAAUUCAACUCUACUUGCCUCAAUUCCCACCUUUCCAGAGCUUAUUCUGGAAUAGAAGGUCUUGGACACGAGGCGUAUGUCCAAGUAAUUGCAGCAUAUCAGGGUGGUGAUGAUAAAGGAUGGUUUCAGGGAAAUGCGGAUGCUGUUAGAAGAUGCCUGUGGUUACUGGAAGAGUAUCCCGUGAGUGAGUUUCUGGUCCUUCCUGGUAACCAUCUCUACAGAAUGGACUACCAAAAACUUAUAAAUGCUCACCGGAAAAGUAAGGCUGAUAUUACCAUCGCAGUAUCAAGUGCUAGCAGAAAUCAUGAUCCCGGAUUCGGUUUUCUUCAAGUAAACUCUAAAAAUCAAGUACUAGAGUUCAGGUUGAGGCUAGAAGAAAAGCCCAUUGAUUUUGUUUCAGUGAAAAGCUCAACAAAUUUCAGUGACAUUGCUCCUAAUGGAUUCCCGAGUAUGGGAAUCUAUCUCAUCAACAGACAGACAAUAAAAGGGCUUCUAGAAGAACAUUUUCCUACAGCAAAUGACUUCAGAAGUGAAGUAAUCCCGGGAGCAAUAUCCAAGGGAAUGAAGGUUCAAGCAUAUGUGUUUGGUGGAUAUUGGGAGGAUAUGAAGAGCAUUGAAGCAUUCUACCAAGCCAAUAUGCAAAGCACGAAGAAUGCGAACUUAGGAUAUAACUUCCACAACAUAGAAUCUCCACUCUACACUCUGCCUCGUCGCCUGCCUCCUACUCUCAUUACUGAUGCUGUAAUAACAGAUAGUGUAAUUGGAGGUGGUUGCAUCAUCAACAAUAGAGGUGCAAGAUCAAAGGUGCAGUCAUUGGCAUGGGGGCAAAAAUCGGAGAAGGGGUCAUAAUUGAGGAUUCAGUGAUCAUUGGUUCAGAUGUCUACAUAGUAAGCUUUGUUUCAUUCUUGCACUUGACAUUUGUUUUUAUCCCUAUUUAGUCCCCCUUUAUUUAGUAUCAUUUAAUGUGAGCAUCCAAUUUUACAACAUGAUGGAUACUGGACAUGAAUAGUCUGAAAUCCCAUGUGGUCAUAUACUAGUCUCCCCAGUGACCAUAUUGCUAUUUACUAACAAAGAUGGUUAUAAGAAAUCAACAGAGAGGAGAUUUUCAAAGGAGUGGCAUGGACAUCCCUGUUGGAAUUGGCAAAGAAACUCAAAUAAGAAACGCUAUUAUAGAUAAGAAUGCAAGGAUUGGCAAAAGUGUUAUGAUCAUUAAUAAAGACCAUGUCCAAGAGGGGGA